GAUGAACGCUGGCGGCGUGCCUAAUACAUGCGAGUCGAGCGAACAGACGGGGAGCUUGCUCCUCUGACGUUAGCGGCGGACGGGUGAGUAACACGUGGAUAACCUACCUAUAAGACUGGGAUAACUUCGGGAAACCGGAGCUAAUACCGGAUAAUAUAUUGAACCGCAUGGUUCAAUAGUGAAAGACGGUUUUGCUGUCACUUAUAGAUGGAUCCGCGCCGCAUUAGCUAGUUGGUAAGGUAACGGCUUACCAAGGCAACGAUGCGUAGCCGACCUGAGAGGGUGAUCGGCCACACUGGAACUGAGACACGGUCCAGACUCCUACGGGAGGCAGCAGUAGGGAAUCUUCCGCAAUGGGCGAAAGCUUGACGGAGCAACGCCGCGUGAGUGAUGAAGGUCUUCGGAUCGUAAAACUCUGUUAUUAGGGAAGAACAAAUGUGUAAGUAACUAUGCACGUCUUGACGGUACCUAAUCAGAAAGCCACGGCUAACUACGUG
rnacentral:rRNA from 1 species